AACCCAUGAUGAGGGCAUCUUCUCAAUAAGUACUUGUAUCUCUCCCAUGCAUCGUAAAGAGUUUCUAAGUCCAUCUGCACAAACGAAAAUAUAUCAUUACGUAAUUU
rnacentral:snoRNA from 1 species